ACCGGCUCCUCAAGGUGAAUCUCCUUCAUCUUCUGCAUCAGAUGUUGAUAACUUGAAUAAUCAGGCAGCAGCGGAUAAGUUUACUUUGCUCAGGGGUACUGGGACUCAUGUUGUCAGUAACCAAGUUAUAUCUGCUCGACAUCGCUCAAAAUUUGCCCGUCUUCUUGACUUUACUCAGGAUGUAAAUUAUGCAAUGGAGGCCUCUAGAAAAUGCCAGAGUGCUUUCGCAGGUGCUAUCAUGAUCAUGGAAGAGGCACGGAAUGGGGACUGCUUAACUUCUAUGAGGAGGGUAAUUGAUUUGAGCUUCCAGGAUGUAGAUGAGCUUGUAGGUCUGGUUUGGACUGCAAGAAAAGCCAUAAGUCGCGCUCAUCUCAGUGGUGCUAGAGAUUAACUUGAUACUGUAUAUAAUGUAAGUUUUUGGUUUGGCUUCUCUACCAAUAUGGCAUCCGGAAAGGAAGGGGAAAAAGGGCAUCUUCAUAGGCUGACACUUUGAAACCUGCGAAGAGGCAGGUCGCCCUUCUGUACAUGUGUACAAAAUGAGAUUGAUUAGCAAAUUUUGUAAUCUAUUUUGAAUUUGCUCAGGUUCUUCUUGAUGUGGAAUGGGCACAAUACUCUCACCCUCAAAUUUUUGUAGGUUAGGAAGGGGGAUGAGAUUCCUGCUAUUUAACUGACGCAGGAUGCUCAUUUUAUUAUAGUUCUAUGCUAUAUUCUUUGCUCCACUGAGUUGGAGCCCAGGAAAAUAGAGUCUGGAAAUGUCAGGCAACAAUUUUUGAGGGCAUUGAAUACUCAUAUAGUUAUAAUUGGUCUAUUUUUUUUAUACAAAAGAAAUAGACUCUAUCAUCUUAUGGAA